AUGUACCUAGGGGCGCAGCAGUGGGGGAUAUUGCACAAUGGGGGAAACCCUGAUGCAGCGACGCCGCGUGGGUGAAGAAGCGCCUCGGCGCGUAAAGCCCUGUCAGCAGGGAAGAAAAUGACGGUACCUGAAGAAGAAGCCCCGGCUAACUACGUGCCAGCAGCCGCGGUAAUACGUAGGGGGCAAGCGUUAUCCGGAUUUACUGGGUGUAAAGGGGGCGCAGACGGCGAUGCAAGCCAGGAGUGAAAGCCCGGGGCCCAACCCCGGGACUGCUCUUGGAACUGCGUGGCUAGAGUGCAGGGGGG
rnacentral:rRNA from 1 species